AUUGAAGUAAAGAAACUCCAUCCUUCCUGGAAAGAGGUAGCUGUCCAUAGGUUCCUUUGGCUCAGAGCUCUGGGAGAAGCAUGCUUAUAAUGUCCUCCUGAGUAUGUUGCUGAUAAAUAAUUGACUUAUUAUUUGAAAGUGUCCAGUUCCUUUCUACGUGAAAGUCAUGAACCCUUAAUUUAGAAGAUUCAAUUUUGAUAAAGUUAUGCGAUUUAAAGAAGUUAAAUUUCUGUGCAAAGGCUGAUGCUAGUAUUAUUUAAACAAAUGUGCUGAUAAGUUAACAUACUAACAAAAUGAUGGUUGAAGAAAUAGCUAGAAACAAAGGGCCAGUUAUUUUCUUUAAGGUUUCAUUUGCCUGAACACAGUUAACUUCUUUUCAGAUACACCGUUUUUCACUUAUUAAGAACAUUUGACACAGAAAAAAGGAUCAAUAUGUUUAUACUCCCAAGUUCAAUAUUUAUACCUUUACACCUUUAUAUGUGGUAUUAGUGGUGAGAGAAAGAAGCAGGAGAGUUAAUUCUUUUUAUAUUUGUUGCUGUGGUACAAAGAUAAUACUUUCUUGGUGGGAUUUUUUGUAUUAGAAGACAUAAGAUGCAUUGUUUAUUCAUUAUACCCUCUAAUACCUCUCCUAGCUGGUCAUAUUUCCAGCCAACUCUGUCAUCUGGAACAUAUAUAUACAUAUAUACACACAUAUAUAUACAUAUAUAUACAUAUAUAUACAUACAUACACACACACACACACAUAUAUAUAUAUGCUUGAAAAUAUAGGAUUGUAGAAAAUUACUCUUGAAAGGAUCUUAGGGAUAAUUUAACCUGGUUGCUUUACUUUGUAGGUGACAGUUACAGCCCCAGUGAAUUAGGGGCUUAGCCAUAGAUUAAAAAAAAAAUCUACAAAUGUGAAACAAUAGGCCAGGGAUUUAGCUUAGUGUUUCCAGUGCCUGCCUUGCAAGUGCAAGGUCCCGAGUUCAAUCCCUGGUACCAAAAGCAAAACAAAACAAAUAGGAAACAGUAAUGACAAAAUCUGCAUAGUGUUUAUUCUGUUAUUUAUUUUGUAAAUAUUUUUGAAGGAGUUAUUAUGUGUGAGAUUUUUAAGGAGAGUGUAGUCUUCUUUGGGCUAGGGCCCUUCCUUGAAACUCUUAUCAAAUGCAUGCAUCAUGAGGCCAUGGAUGAGAAAUACCUGAGAAUUGUUCUUGGUAAACACUUUGCAAAUGACAAUGACUUAAUCUUGUUCAAUCUCCAGAGUCUUCUGCCUUCUGAGGAAGGAAGCUGUUAAUGACAGGAAGAAAUGAACAUACAGAAUAGAAAUCUGGGACACUUAGUAUAAACAAGUCUAACAAAUAUGGUAGCUUCCACUAUCCAACCUUUUGGUUAUGUUGUAUGUGCAGCAUUUACCAUAGCACCUCCAAGAUUUCUAAGUAAAUGGGAUAUCAAAUGAUGUUUUAUUGCCUCAUCAGCCCUGAGUUAGAGAAGUCUAGAAUGUUACUUGUCACAUCUAAUUGCUUACUGUCCGAGUGCAAAGCAGCUCCUCUUCCCAUCCUACUUCUGGAAGGCAAAUUACAUCCCAGAUCUUAUGCCAUCCUUAUGACAAAGUGAUAACCAAGGGGUAUUUUUAAAGUACAUCAGUGUGUGAUCAUAUUUUCCUCCAACUACUCAAUGCUGUUGUCUUAAGACUUACAUUGAUUGGUAAGUUGAUUAUUUAAUUAAUUAAUUUAUCAGAUAUUUUGAAAACAUAUACUAUAUGCCAGGGUAUAGACUAUGUCCAAGGACUAGGAUAAAAAAGGUGGGAAAACCAAGUUUUUCUACAGAGUUUACUGAUACGUCAUAGGUUAAAUGUAAAAGACUGAAAUACCUAAAGAAAUCAAAUUACUUUUCUGCAAUUCAAAGAAUAUGUAUAAGAUAGCCAUAUCACAGCCCAUUCUAUAUAGUGGGUUCUCCUUCAGUAUAUUUGAUAUGGGAAGGGGUACCAGACAUUUUUUAUAUUAUAAUAUUUUUCAUAUAUUUAUUAAGCUGUAACUUGUAAGGUUUCCUGAUGGGGGCGUAAAGUGAGGCUUUUUGUGUGCUCUAUUGUGUCUUUGUCAAGAAGCACUGUGUUAACUCCUGCCCAUGUCAUUCAUCUGGCUUGUACCAGUAAUGAAGCAUGUUUUAGUCAUUCCAGGAGGGUUUGGGGAUUUGGACAAAGGAGGAUAAAUCUAACAAAAGGAUCAGUUUCAUGGUGGGUUGGAGGGAAUGCAUUUAGGGACAAUCAGAGAAUGAAACCUUUUGCUUGGUAUAUUUUUACAUCUUUAUUCCCUUUUAGCAAAGCAGCUGAAUACUUCAGAGUUUUUUUAAAAGGUUAAGAAAAUGCUAAAUUAUUUCUUUUUUUUUUCUGAUACUGAGGGUCGAAUUCAGGAUCUUGCGCUUUCCAGGCAGGCAUGGUACCACCUAGUUACAUACCCAGCCCUGGAUUAUUUCACUGUUUUAAAUGCCCCCAUCCUGUUGACUUGGCAUAGAUUAAGAGAAUCCAAGAACUCCGAGUAUUUCAGUGGAGUGGUAGAGUUAGUCAUCCAGCAGUUUUCCUAGCCUAGCAUUUCUAAGCUGUAUACUAAUAACAGAGAUUUGACUUAGGAAAGGCAAGAAAACACAGAAGAGGGGAAUAGAAGUGUGGAGGGUAAUAGUAAGGUAAAGGGAAAAGAGAGCAAGAAAAAAGGGCAAGAAGAUGUUUGGUGGUCCUUCUCUCCCUUAUCUCCUCCUCCUGACAAAGACAAGUGUGACAAAGAAGGCAGAUGAAUGGGACAAGAGAAGACUGAAUUAGAGACAGGAGGGCACUUGGAGGUGGAAAAAGAAGAGGAAAAUGAGUCAGAGAAAUCACAGGAAUAAGUGGGGGGGAAGGAGAUAGGAUAAGAACUAUUUAAAUGCAAGGAAAAUAGAUGGGCACAGAGAGGGGAGUGCAUGAUUUGGUCACACCGAGAGCCUCCAAUUGCUCUGAGUGUGCAUCUACCAAAUAACCAGUGUCCCUUGCUGAAGACAUUUUCCUGACUUUUGUAUUAACUUUAAUGCGAUUCUCUUUAUGGUUCCUGUGUUGCUGGUUGCAGUUUCAUUGACACUCUGUGAUCAAAUAGCAAAUGUGGAAGCAUAGUUCUGUUAUCCCUGCCCCCUUGCCAUGUGCAGCAGACUUCUGUGUCAGUGCUUCUUGCAUUUGAUGUUUGCCAUUCCUCCUUGUCUACAGGUAGGAGAGUUAAAAGGGGAAAAAAAUCUUCCCAAGGGCUCCCAUGUUUAUAGCUCAUGAAUACAAAUAUUCUAAGCAGCUGAAAAAAUAUAAUAACUCAAUCCAAUAUUUUUUUUCCAAGUACAGUUGACUGCUUUCAUUGCUGGCCUGGUUACUUUCCCUAACCCAACAUCACACUCAAAAAAGUGUAAGUGGGCCAGUUUUUGAAAGAUCGUUCCUUAUAUUUUUAAGACUCAAUUCAGAAAGACUUCUCAGUAUGCCAGGUCUGGGUGAGGUGCUUGCGUGCUUGGUUUCAUGCUUGCUUCUCUCCUCUCCCCUCCACUCCUCUCCUCUCCCCUCCCCUCUCCUCUCCU
ensembl:lncRNA